rnacentral:ncRNA from 1 species
UUCGGGGUGCGUAAAAACGCUGAGAUUACACCCGUUAAACCUGAUCUAGGUAGUGCUAGCGAAGGGAAAAUC